GGAUACGGCCAUACUCGGUUGAAUACACCCGAUCUCGUUCGAUCUCGGAAGUUAAGCAACUGCAGGCCAGGUUAGUACUUGGAUGGGUGACCGCCUGGGAAUCCCUGGUGCCGUAUCCU
rnacentral:rRNA from 1 species